GCUGAACCCAACCUCAAAAGGAGAAUGGGAGAAGCUCAGCUACGGGGGACUCUUCCAGAGGGUGGGGACUGGAUAAGUGCUUGUGGGCACGAUGAAAGUGUUUACAGGAACUUGUAGAGACAGAGAGGUGCAAGCUGCCUUGGGGAACCACCACGUGCUGGGCUUCAAAGCUUUUUGGGACCUCCAGGCUUGCGAGUGGUGAAUGUGAGCUGAUGGAAGCACAAGACAAAUGGCUCUCAGUGGUGGCCAAAGGCAGGUGCCAACAUCCCUGAGCUGCCGGAGAAGAUGGGAGGGCAGGAGUUAUCCAGCAUCGCUCACGCUCUGCUCCAUCCUACACGGAGACUGGGCUAAGUUCCACAGCAGUACCCAAAGGAUGAGGAGGCAUGGGGUGGUCAGAGGUGAAUACCUCUGUCACCCCGAAAGGUCUUAUGGGAAUGAAUGGUACUUGCAGAAGCAGUCUGUAAACUCUAUCUUUAAUUAAUAAACAUUAGUAAUAAGAAGGUAGCAUAUCUGUGCAUGUUUCCCAGACUGUGAACUGCAGGAGUGCUGGGCUUCAGCCUAUGCCUAGCCAUGGGGCUCCUUGAUGUGGACCUCAGCCUGCAGGAUGAGUUCCCAGCUUUGCCUUGGACCUCCAUCAUCACCAUGGUGUUGCCAUAUGACCUGGACUCUAGGUUGUGUCCAUCUUGGUUGGAUGCUGAGGGUAUAGGUCCCACCUUGGCUUCACCUUCUUGUGAGAGCAGCCCCGAUCUCGCUGCUCCUCGAUGGCUGGGAGCACAUAGGUGGCUGCAAAUCUUCAGCUGCCUGGGGCAACCACGGCACACAGCAGUCCUCUGAUGGGAGCAUGAAGCAAGAAGAAGCUGCAAAGCUGCACAGAAUUAAGCAGGUUUGUGCACAAGGUAAUGAGGUUUUUGUCCAGAGUAGGGCAGAAAAAAAAAUCCAAAAAUGCAACCAGUUACACCUCCUACUUUCUCAUUAACCUACCAGCUAAAUCACAGCUCUUCCUCCUUGACGUGACACCUACCCAUUAGGAUGAUGAGCCGGGUGGGAGUAGCAGCUUGCAGCUACUAGCCAAAGAAAUCUAUUUAGGGAUUACACAAACACUGGAGUUUUUAUCCACAUGCUAAUAUGCUUUGAUCUCUAGAUAGCUGAAGCACUCUCUUUGUUGUAAAAUAAAUACGAUGUCAUUUGUCAUAUUUAUCAGCCCCAGUAUGGCAGGGGCCACUUCCCUGGUGAGAGGUGAGGGCUGGCUUCUUAUGGACCAUCACGUCUUAGCUCUCCAAGGAAGGAUGUUAUUAGAUAGAGGAAGGAUAUUGAGAGGUAACUACAGGCAAAGCUUUCGUGCUACUCCCUGUUCUCCUCUCCCAGCCAUUGCCGAGCAAAGGGAGGAACUAAAGACAUUAAAGCUAAAGAGUCCUUGCCAAAACCCUUGAGGUCUAUUCUUCAUCAACUGGAGCAUAACAACCAAUUAAUGAAUAUAGAUAGGUUUUAUGAAAAAUGCAUGAUGAAUGUACAUCUCAUCUUGGAAAAAGGACUCCUUAAGGCUUAGAAACACAUCAAUACCUUGAGGAGGGUACCCGAGUUCACCUGAAUGACCUUGCAAAUGUGUGGAAAUGAUUCUGCCCAUCCAGCUCAGGAUGUGAGUGCUCUGCCCCAUCCGGCUGGCACAGUCACGAAGUAAAAAUGCUCAGUGCUGGCUUGCGUGUAAUAAACAACAUGGCGGAGGGAAUGACCUGGAGGAGAGCUUGCCCAAAGUUUGCAAAUGGUAUCAAACCACUGCAGGGGAGCAGCUGAUGUUCUCAAGGGGAGAGCUGCUAUUCAGAGGGCAGCAGCACAGCCACUGAACACCUCAGCCCUGAAAAAUCAAGAAUUAAAUUCACCUGGCAAGGAGUUUCUUUGCAGCCUUUUUCAUCCCUUAGAAGCUUCCUAUCUUAGUCAGCUCUCAGCUUUAUUAUGUCAUAUUUGCUAUACUGAAAGAAGAAAAUAAUAACGCAAUAACCACCCCUGCCCCCUUCCCAGGAGGCAGACAGCCACCUUUGUUGUAAUGCCACGUCCAGCUCAGGCUUGUGGGGAUAACUGCAAGAUGACAAAUGUCCUCAGGGCUCCCCAGGACCAUCUCUUUGGUAUUACCCUUCCCAUCUAAGUAGCUGUCGGGGACCUCCUGCUGGGCUUUCCUGCCCAGCUCCAGGAAAGCAGCUUGUCAUCCUCAGGCUUCACCCAAGAGGCUGAGGAGUGUCAGCAUGGCACUGGAAACCUCAUGUUCCUGUCAGCCCCCAGUGAUUAGUGUUCCCAGAUUAAUAGAUACAGCUCUCCUUAAAACCAGAUCAAUAGUUCUCACUCACUUUUUUGGUCCUGUUCCCUGAAGCGGAGGCAUUCAGCUAUCGCUCCCGCAGAUAUAUUGCACAAGGUGCAAUUCUGCAUGGAAAUGAGCUUCCUGAGAAGAGCCAGCGGCUGGAUAAUAGCUCAUGCUUCUGACCGUGCCUUAUGGAUGGUGGCUGCCUGGUCACAGGCAGGUAUUAUUUCAGGGCUGUGAAUAAUCUGAGCAGUAAGGAGGGCUCAUGACCUGGGCUCCCCAAACAGGAACCCUGCCACCAGGGAUAACAGGUCCCCUGCUGCAGCAGCGCUGAGGUAAAGCCGAGCCAAUUGCUUUCCAAGCAUGAGAUGCUCAUCUUGUGGCAGAGCUUCUUGUCUAACGAUGCUAAAUGAUUGAUGCUGCAGACGCAAUCAUUUGCUUCGCUGGACGUUGCGGGAGCAGUGGUGAUACACAGGAAAAUCCAUUACUGCGCUGCUCCAUCCUCAUUGACUCCCUCACGCUCCACGCUUGUCUGAGCAGACAUCAGCCCAUCUAUAAAACAGCCCCUCAUCCAAAAUGCAUCUUGACUCCGUACCAGUACCUGACUGACUAAGCUUUAUUUUAUCUUUUAAAAUGUUUUCCUUUCUGCUUUCCCUCUUUUUGCACUCCGACAGGCGUCCCUUGGAAGGCACUGCUCCUUGUGCACAGGCACUGCACAGAACAAGGCAGUAAGAGCCUUCCUGGCCUGGGGAAGCAAAAAGCCACCAGGAAACAAUUGCUGUCACUUAAUGUCAGCUGUGAUGAACACUUUAGCAGUGGGGCUCAAGUGUUGAUGCCGUGAGGGCGAGCAGCUCCACAUCAUCCAUGGGGACGCUGGACUCAGUCCUACAAGAACUGCUGCAGACAUCCCAUUACCUGUCAGAAACCCUUGGGAUCUAAUGCAUUUCCAUCCAGUAUUUCUGGAAUUGCUUUUUGUAAUUUCCAGCAAGCACAAAACGUAUUUUUAAUAUAAAACAAGGUACGUGCCAUCAUCAGCACGGCACUGGGCUCCCAUCAAUACAAGAUAAUUGGGGAAGCAAAUUCCCCUAGCAAAACAGCACAGGGUGGAAGCACUCUGCAGUCAUUAUGCAAUUGGCCCAACUUUUUGCGUUGCCAUUUCAAGUGAUCAAUGAGCCUGACAUGUCCUCGUAAUUAGAUUUUGUUGCUGAUAUCUGAGCUCAUGCUAAAUUAGGCUAAUCUCCUGCUUUCAGAAGCAGAUGUGAGUUAUCUGCCAUUGGCGUGCUCUAAACUCAGAGGGACUAACAGUUCCCAAAAUGUUGAUCUUGCGGUGCUGGUUUUGAUUGAGUGGUUUCAUUGCAGGGGGUUUGCAGUGUUCCUCCUCCUGGAAACUCCCAGCUCUGCAAUUCAAGAGCCAAGAACUCUUGGGAAGGUGCCAGAUGUGGCACAAGACAAUGUCAUCGUAGAAUCAUAAAACCAUUUGAGUUGGAAAGAACCCCUAAAGGCCAUCUGGUCCAACUCCUCUCCAACGAACCGGGACACUUACAGCUCUAUCAGGUGCUCAGAGCCCCAUCCAGCCUGACCUUCUCAGGGAUGGGGCAUCUCUCUGGGCAGUCUGUGCCAGUGCCUCAUCAGUGUCCUUCCAGCUGUCCAGGUAACACCUCUCCUUGAAUGUAGAUGUAGCUCAGAGCACUGGGGAUGGUCCUGGGUGUGGGAAAAGCCGUCGCACCUGCUUAUGGUAUAUAACAGGGGAAAAAACAAGACACAUGCUAACUGCCCUACCCCAGGCAUCAGCUACCCCAGUGCACCAGCUCUGGGAGCUCCAGCAGUGAGAUAGAGAGAAGCAUCGUGCAGAAGGUUUGCAAGUGCUCCUUCCCUGAGUGCCACCAGCUCCAGCCAGAGGUGGAGACCUAGGGGACACAUGCUGGUUCACCGUUGCUUGGGGCUGGGGGGCAUCUCCAGCUGCUGGGAUUUUUUUCCAUGUGGAGACACCUAAAGACCUACAGAGAGGGCUCAAAUCUGACACAAGGCUCCAGUCCAGAACAUGAGGGGAAACCUUUCUGAAAGUGACAGGACAUCUGCUGACAUUUCUUAAAGUGUUUCCAUUUGACCUCCUCUUAGAAUAAUUCAGGAUUUCCUGGCUUUAGGGCAACAUUUGCUGACAUCCGCUCUUUUUUUUUUUUUAUUUUAAAG
rnacentral:lncRNA from 1 species